rnacentral:misc_RNA from 1 species
UACUUGGACGAUCUAUUAAUC